AAAAAGUAUAAAUUAUUUACAGUUUAAACUAUUUAUAAACACUUUUUUAUAUUGUUUAAUUCGAUAUAUAUUUUUGUGAGAGGUUACUCUGAAUGAUAAGACGAGUUUAAAGUCGCCCCUCAUAGCAAUGAUUAAUAAGUGUACUACAUUUGGAUGUUAAUAAAUAGUGUCUUUGAAAAGUCUUAGGCCACUAGUUGAUUCUAUUUUAAGAUGGAUUAAAACACACGUAUGCAAAACUAUGUUUGUUUUGUAUUUGUAUGUUUUGAUUCAAUUUGAUUCUUUAGUGGUGGGCCCUUGGAAUAUCGUUGGUACAUCAUUUUGUUUUGUUUAACCUGCGUAUGUGUAAGCGUAUUUUUUAUUUGAUCUUUGCUUGUCCGAGUUUGCUGAUGUAUUGU
rnacentral:lncRNA from 1 species